AUUAGCUGGGCGUGGUGGCACACACCUGUAAACCCAGCUACUCGGGAGGCUGAGGCAUGAGAAUUGUUUGAACCCGGGAGGUGGAGGCUGCACUGAGCCGAGAUCGAGCCACUACACUACAGCCUGGGUGACAGAGUGAGACUCCCUCUAAAAAAAAGAAAAAAAUAAAAACUCAGGGGAGAAAAAACAAAAACCCAACAAUUCGUUCC
rnacentral:lncRNA from 1 species